rnacentral:rRNA from 1 species
UCAGGAUGAACGCUAGCGACAGGCCUAACACAUGCAAGGUCAGGGGCAGCGCGGGAGAAGCUUGCUUUCCUGGCGGCGACCGGCGCACGGGUGCGUAACAGGUGUGCAAUCUGUCCAUAGUCGGGGGAUAGCCCAGCGAAAGCUGAAUUAAUACUCCAUGUGAAUCGAAGCCGCAUGACUUUGAUUUGAAACGCAAGGACUAUGGGUGAGCACGCUUCUGAUUAGGUAGUUGGUGGGGUAACGGCCCACCAAGCCGACGAUCAGUAGGGGUUCUGAGAGGAAGGUCCCCCACAUUGGAACUGAGACACGGUCCAAACUCCUACGGGAGGCAGCAGUGAGGAAUAUUGGUCAAUGGGCGAGAGCCUGAACCAGCCAAGUCGCGUGAAGGAUGAAGGUUCUAUGGAUUGUAAACUUCUUUUGUCCGAGGGUAAAAAAGGCCACGUGUGGCUUCUUGCAAGUAUCGGACGAAUAAGCAUCGGCUAACUCCGUGCCAGCCGCCGC